AGGUAAAUAAAUUUAGUAAAUUAAGAUGCUUGAGAGAAUUGUAUUGAAGGAACUCGGCAAAAUGACUCCGUAACUUCGGAAUAAGGAGUAAUUUUAAGAGGGUAACCUUUUAAAAUUGACACAAAAUCGAGGACAGCGACUGUUUAAUAAAAACACAGGUUUCUGCUAAUUUGUAAAAAGAUGUAUAGAAACUGACGCCUGCCCGGUGCUGCAAGGCUAACGAAAAAAGUUUAGGCUUUUAUCUAAAACCCCAGUAAACGGCGGCUGUAACUCUGACGGUCCAAAGGUAGCGAAAUUCCUUGGCAUUUAAUUGGUGUCCUGCAUGAAUGGCGUAACGACUGUCCUACUGUCUCCAAUACAAACUCAGUGAAAUUAAAAUUUCCGUGAAGAUGCGGAAUUUCUACGGCUAGACGGAAAGACCCCGUGCACCUUUACUACAGCUUCAGACUGGCA
rnacentral:rRNA from 1 species